UCUAUCUCCUGAGCAUCAUUCUGCAAGCAAGGUUUCUUUUCUGUUGCAGGCCAGAUAAUUUUAAAUGACCUUGCUAUGCUAUUCUUGUGGCCAGCACCUUCUCUGCACAAAUCCUUUUUUUUUUCCUUUCCUUUUUUUUUUUGUUUUUGUUUUUGUUUUUUCCUUUGGAGCUGAUCACACUUUAUCACAGUCCUAGUUUCUACUCUUAUACCCAGACACUGGAAAAUAUGUUCUCUGCUUUUAUUUCCUAAAAUUACUUAUGAUAUUGUUACCUUUGCAUUUCAAAAUGCCCUCCGUCCAAGGUUCACAUCUUAAAAGCUUGGUUUGAAAUAGAACACUCUUCAGAGAUGGGGCUUUGUGAAAACGAUGGGAUCCAGUUCUGACUUUAUCAACGGAUCAAUCUACUGACAAAAAAAAAUGUCUCAUCCUAUAUGGUUUGGAAGCUUUAUAAGUGACCAUACCAACUAGAUAGAAAUGGAGCAACAUGGUCCCGUCUUACUGAGAGGAGAAAUCUCUACUGGAACACUCUUCCCUGCCAGCUUAAUACUCAGCACAAGGCAGAAGGAAUGCUUCUCACGAGCUUCACCAAGGGAGACGGGUGGCAAGCAUCUUUCAGGCGUUCCCAAGCUCGCCCCAAUUUGUGGAGACAGCUCUGGUACCAUGGCAUUUUCUGAUGACAACAACUCCCGAUGCAGCUGUACCAACGCUGCCGCUGAUAUAUCCAUUAAAAAGAGAAGCUUGUAAAAUCCAGAUUUGAAAUUCAAUAAGGAAUUCAGAGGAAAGUCUUGCUUUCAGGCCAUCUCCUGGCUAAAUGAAUAAAUGAAUAGGGAAACUAUUGCAUACAAAAAAAAAAUGUCAAAAGCUACCAAAGGAAGCUUUGCUCACUAAUGUUUCAAAAUAGCCCCGUCUGGAAAGGUAUGCUUUUAGACUAAGAAAGCAGAAAAAAACUAAUUAGACAAGAAGUAACCGUGAACAAACAUGUUAGCAGAACCAAUAACUGGAACUGAUCAGCUAUUUCUCUAAUUGUGCCAGCUGGACAGCUAUGAUGCGCUUAGCAGAGCAUAAUUACUAAUUUCUAUUCCAUACCCCAACCCUUUUCUUUCCUCUCCCUUUUGUAGAAAUACCCAGGCAUAUGCCACUUAAUAAAAUAAUAAUAACAUUCUGUAAAGGUAAAAAGUGAGUGGGAAAAACUGAGAGCCUAUGUACGAUGACAUUUUGUGAAUGAUCAGGAGGUUGAUCGAGGACAAUCCUCUAGUUGUGUUAAUAAGAAUUUGAGCAAUCAAGGAAAUGCACUAUGAUCUUAAUUUAAAGGCUAUUAUGUGCUUGCUUCAUUACAAAUAAGGACAAUUUACAUCACUAUGUUAGCAUGGGCUUCAUAUUCAUGGUCUUUCUCACUUGGAGAGGUAUGGUUAAUUUCAGCUCAAAGCACUGUGUCUCCUAUGAUGUGAAGUUGUGCAAUCCAGUUACCUGGUGCUGUUCAGAGAAGUUUAAACAGACUACGGGUUGGGCCUAUAAAAG
rnacentral:lncRNA from 1 species